rnacentral:rRNA from 1 species
GACGAACGCUGGCGGCGUGCUUAACACAUGCAAGUCACGGGGGCCCGCAAGGGCAACCGGCGAACGGGUGCGUAACACGUGAACAACCUGCCCUCGUGUGGGGGAUAGCCGGGCUAACGCCCGGGUAAUACCGCAUACGUUCUCUCUGGGGAGUCCUGGGGAGAGGAAAGCUCCGGCGCACGGGGAGGGGUUCGCGGCCUAUCAGCUAGUUGGCGGGGUAAUGGCCCACCAAGGCGACGACGGGUAGCUGGUCUGAGAGGAUGGCCAGCC